rnacentral:rRNA from 1 species
CCUACGGGAGGCUGCAGUGAGGAAUAUUGGUCAAUGGGCGAGAGCCUGAACCAGCCAAGUCGCGUGAAGGAUGACGGCCCUACGGGUUGUAAACUUCUUUUGUCAGGGAGCAAUUGCGUCCACGCGUGGGCUUAGCGAUAGUACCUGAAGAAAAAGCAUCGGCUAACCCCGUGCCAGCAGCCGCGGUAUUACGGAGGAUGCGAGCGUUAUCCGGAUUUAUUGGGUUUAAAGGGUGCGUAGGCGGAAGGUUAAGUCAGCGGUAAAAUGUCGGUGCUCAACACCGGCCUGCCGUUGAAACUGGUCGUCUUGAGUGAGCGAGAAGUAUGCGGAAUGCGUGGUGUAGCGGUGAAAUGCAUAGAUAUCACGCAGAACUGCGAUUGCGAAGGCAGCAUACCGGCGCUCAACUGACGCUGAGGCACGAAAGCGUGGGGAUCGAACAGGAUUAGAUACCCGAGUAGUC